rnacentral:rRNA from 1 species
ACGGGGGAAUGCCUUAGUACGGCGAGUGAAGCGGCAAAAGCUCAAAUUUGAAAUCUGGUACCUUCGGUGCCCGAGUUGUAAUUUGGAGAGGGCAACUUUGGGGCCGUUCCUUGUCUAUGUUCCUUGGAACAGGACGUCAUAGAGGGUGAGAAUCCCGUGUGGCGAGGAGUGCGGUUCUUUGUAAAGUGCCUUCGAAGAGUCGAGUUGUUUGGGAAUGCAGCUCUAAGUGGGUGGUAAAUUCCAUCUAAAGCUAAAUAUUGGCGAGAGACCGAUAGCGAACAAGUACAGUGAUGGAAAGAUGAAAAGAACUUUGAAAAGAGAGUGAAAAAGUACGUGAAAUUGUUGAAAGGGAAGGGCAUUUGAUCAGACAUGGUGUUUUGUGCCCUCUGCUCCUUGUGGGUAGGGGAAUCUCGCAUUUCACUGGGCCAGCAUCAGUUUUGGUGGCAGGAUAAAUCCAUAGGAAUGUAGCUUGCCUCGGUAAGUAUUAUAGCCUGUGGGAAUACUGCCAGCUGGGACUGAGGACUGCGACGUAAGUCAAGGAUGCUGGCAUAAUGGUUAUAUGCCGCCCGUCUUGAAAACCCGACACACA